rnacentral:rRNA from 1 species
GAUGAACGCUGGCGGCGUGCCUAAUACAUGCAAGUCGAGCGAACGGACGAGAAGCUUGCUUCUCUGAUGUUAGCGGCGGACGGGUGAGUAACACGUGGAUAACCUACCUAUAAGACUGGGAUAACUUCGGGAAACCGGAGCUAAUACCGGAUAAUAUUUUGAACCGCAUGGUUCAAAAGUGAAAGACGGUCUUGCUGUCACUUAUAGAUGGAUCCGCGCUGCAUUAGCUAGUUGGUAAGGUAACGGCUUACCAAGGCAACGAUGCAUAGCCGACCUGAGAGGGUGAUCGGCCACACUGGAACUGAGACACGGUCCAGACUCCUACGGGAGGGAGCAGUAGGGAAUCUUCCGCAAUAGGCGAAAGCAUGACGGAGCAACGCCGCGUGAGUGAUGAAGGUCUUCGGAUCGUAAAACUCUGUUAUUAGGGAAGAACAUAUGUGUAAGUAACUGUGCACAUCGUGACGGUACCUAAUCAGAAAGCCACGGCUAACUACGUG